rnacentral:lncRNA from 1 species
GGACUACGACAAUUGUUAUAAAGAAAGUGAUAAAUCAUCAGCUUACAAAAUUGGUGACAUUGCUGUACAACAUGCCAGAGAACAAGCUUCAGAUUCCCAAGUCCUUUGCAAGAACUCUGAUGCCACAGAAGCAAAGAAACAGAGAGCAAAACUUAAGAGAAGUCUUACAGUUCCAAGAAAGUUUCUAUGAGCUAGUUAUGGUAUCUCAUAUUUCAAUAAAAACAUGUAAAGCCUUUAUAUUCUGGAGCGGGGAGAGAAACUUGGAUAUAUUUAGUUCUCUGACAAAGAUCACCAGAUGUGAUAAAUAG